rnacentral:tRNA from 1 species
AGCCCCGUAGUGUAGCGGCCAAGCAUGCGAGCCUUUGGAGCUCGCGACCCAGGUUCGAAUCCUGGCGGGGCUA